UUGUGCCGGUUGCCGUUGCUGUCGUCAGAGCCAGAGAAGAAGAGAAGCAAAACCGCGAAGAGAGAGAGAGAUCGAAGGAGACGUUCACUCACUAAUCGUUGUCGCUACCAUGCGUUGCCUCUGCUGCUGGUUCAGCUGCCGUCGAGCUCGCAGCAACCGUCACCAUGGAGACCGCCACUAUCAUCUCCGAAGCUGCGUCGUCGAUUAGGUUAAGGAGGGGGAGAAUCGUGAACAACCGGAGGAGGAGAAGAACGUGUGGUGGUGGGUGUUCUCUUAGCCAGCGUCGUUGAAGGAUGCUCCGCCGCCGCCGCCGCCGCCGGAAUCACGAGCUGAGCUGUGGACUGUGACGAUCGAUUUUCCGAAAGAAUCGUUGCUGCUAUGAACUAUUUCAGCCCUGCCCUGGAAAAAUCCCAAAAAUGUUUUUGUUUCCAUCUAGCCACUGUUAUCGCGAUUGUUGAUGACAUCGCUGCUGCAGAGGGUCAUCGGCGUCACUGUUGCGGUUGCUGCCACAAAUUAGGAAUAAAAGGAACUAUUGCGUUAAAUUCUGCAAUUGCGACAUCGAGUGACACAGGUUUGAAGACGCAAUUUGAAGCUGCGAGCGAUUAGUAGGUUUUCUUUAUGGUUUUAAUUGCUUUCAUAGAGUCCCCUCGCUCUUGUCCUUUGAAGUUUUAUUUUAUCAGAGGGGUAGGUAUUGUAUUUGGGUUUAUAUGACUUCCUAUGUAUAAGAAUUACUAAUAAUAAUACCUCUGUGAUUGUUAUUAUUAUUUGCAAUGUUUAUCCUUGAUACAUGUCUUUAAUGAAUAAAAACAAAAUUUUCCGGAAUUUUCUUAAAACUAAAAUGCGAACUCGAUAU